GAAAAGGUGUUGGUUCAUACAGACAGCAGGACGGUGGCCAUGGAAGUCGGAACCCGCUAAGGAGUGUGUAACAUCUCACUUGCCGAAUCAACUAGCAUUGAAAAUAGAUGGCGCCGGAA